UGGGGAAUAUUGCACAAUGGGCGCAAGCCUGAUGCAGCCAUGCCGCGUGUGUGAAGAAGGUCUUCGGGUUGUAAAGCACUUUCAGCGGGGAGGAAGGCGUUAAGGUUAAUAACCUUGGCGAUUGACGUUACCCGCAGAAGAAGCACCGGCUAACUCCGUGCCAGCAGCCGCGGUAAUACGGAGGGUGCAAGCGUUAAUCGGAAUUACUGGGCGUAAAGCGCACGCAGGCGGUCUGUCAAGUCGGAUGUGAAAUCCCCGGGCUCAACCUGGGAACUGCAUUGGAAACUGGCAGGCUAGAGUCUUGUAGAGGUGGGUAGAAUUCCAGGUGUAGCGGUGAAAUGCGUAGAGAUCUGGAGGAAUACCGGUGGCGAAGGCGGCCCCCUGGACAAAGACUGACGCUCAGGUGCGAACGCGUGGGGAGCAAACAGG
rnacentral:rRNA from 1 species